rnacentral:rRNA from 1 species
UACGGAGGAUGCGAGCGUUAUCCGGAUUUAUUGGGUUUAAAGGGUGCGUAGGCGGGAUGCCAAGUCAGCGGUAAAAAUGCGGUGCUCAACGCCGUCGAGCCGUUGAAACUGGCGUUCUUGAGUGGGCGAGAAGUAUGCGGAAUGCGUGGUGUAGCGGUGAAAUGCAUAGAUAUCACGCAGAACUCCGAUUGCGAGGGCAGCAUACCGGCGCCCUACUGACGCUGAGGCACGAAAGCGUGGGUAUCGAACAGG